rnacentral:rRNA from 1 species
GACGUAGGGCGCGAGCGUUGUCCGGAUUUAUUGGGCGUAAAGAGCUCGUAGGCGGCUUGUCGCGUCGACUGUGAAAUCCCGCGGCUCAACUGCGGGUCUGCAGUCGAUACGGGCAGGCUAGAGUUCGGUAGGGGAGACUGGAAUUCCUGGUGUAGCGGUGAAAUGCGCAGAUAUCAGGAGGAACACCGGUGGCGAAGGCGGGUCUCUGGGCCGGAUAACUGACGUGGAGGAGCGAAAGCGUGGGGAGCGAAACAGG